UACAGGGGGUGCAAACGUUAAUCGGAAUUACUGGGCGUAAAGCGUGCGCAGGCGGUCUUGCAAGACAGGUGUGAAAUCCCCGGGCUUAACCUGGGAACUGCACUUGUGACUGCAAGGCUGGAGUACGGCAGAGGGGGAUGGAAUUCCGCGUGUAGCAGUGAAAUGCGUAGAUAUCUGGAGGAACACCGGUGGCGAAGGCGGCAUCCUGGACCGAGAUUGACGCUGAGGCGCGAAAGCCAGGGGAGCAAACGGG
rnacentral:rRNA from 1 species